GGGGCGUUGGCGUAGUCAGGUCGCGCAUGGGGCUUUUAACCCUAGGACACAGGUUCGAAUCCUGUACGCCCCACCA
rnacentral:tRNA from 1 species